rnacentral:rRNA from 1 species
UCUGGAAAGGCGCGCGAUACAGGGUGACAGCCCCGUACACAAAAGCGUAUGUGCUGUGAGCUCGAUGAGUAGGGCGGGACACGUGGUAUCCUGUCUGAAUAUGGGGGGACCAUCCUCCAAGGCUAAAUACUCCUGACUGACCGAUAGUGAACCAGUACCGUGAGGGAAAGGCGAAAAGAACCCCGGCGAGGGGAGUGAAAAAGAACCUGAAACCGUGUACGUACAAGCAGUGGGAGCCCCACCACUAAGCCAGUGGUGAACUCCACAUACGCAUCCUUUGCUGAGGAUACGGUUAACGGAGCGAAAGCGACGUUCAACCGCAAAAGAAGCAGAGGGGGCUUAGUGGUGGGGUGACUGCGUACCUUUUGUAUAAUGGGUCAGCGACUUAUAUUCUGUAGCAAGGUUAACCGAAUAGGGGAGCCGGAGGGAAACCGAGUCUUAACCGGGCGUUAAGUUGCAGGGUAUAGACCCGAAACCCGGUGAUCUAGCCAUGGGCAGGUUGAAGGUUGGGUAACACUAACUGGAGGACCGAACCGACUAAUGUUGAAAAAUUAGCGGAUGACCUGUGGCUGGGGGUGAAAGGCCAAUCAAACCGGGAGAUAGCUGGUUCUCCCCGAAAGCUAUUUAGGUAGCGCCUCGUGAAUUCAUCUCCGGGGGUAGAGCACUGUUUCGGCUAGGGGGCCAUCCCGGCUUACCAACCCGAUGCAAACUGCGAAUACCGGAGAAUGUUAUCACGGGAGACACACGGCGGGUGCUAACGUCCGUCGUGAAGAGGGAAACAACCCAGACCGCCAGCUAAGGUCCCAAAGUCAUGGUUAAGUGGGAAACGAUGUGGGAAGGCCCAGACAGCCAGGAUGUUGGCUUAGAAGCAGCCAUCAUUUAAAGAAAGCGUAAUAGCUCACUGGUCGAGUCGGCCUGCGCGGAAGAUGUAACGGGGCUAAACCAU